rnacentral:snRNA from 1 species
GUCUCACUUUGGCAGCACAUAUACUAAAAUUGGAACAAUACAGAGAAUAUUAGCAUGACCCCUGUGUAAGGAUGAAAUGCAAAUUUGUGAAGCAUUCCAUAUUUUA